rnacentral:sRNA from 1 species
ACGUGUCACAGGUGCUGUGCGUGGUGCCCGUGACAACAGACAGAAACCGUGCCUUGGGAAGAUCUGGGCACUUCAGGGUGUU